GAUGAACGCUGGCGGCGUGCCUAAUACAUGCAAGUCGAGCGAACGGACGAGAAGCUUGCUUCUCUGAUGUUAGCGGCGGACGGGUGAGUAACACGUGGAUAACCUACCUAUAAGACUGGGAUAACUUCGGGAAACCGGAGCUAAUACCGGAUGAUAUUUUGAACCGCAUGGUUCAAAAGUGAAAGACGGUCUUGCUGUCACUUAUAGAUGGAUCCGCGCUGCAUUAGCUAGUUGGUAAGGUAACGGCUUACCAAGGCAACGAUGCAUAGCCGACCUGAGAGGGAGGUCGGCCACACGGGAAGUGAGACACGGCCCAGACUCCUACGGGAGGAAGCAGUAGGGAAUCUUACGCGAUGGGCGAAAGCCUGACGGAGCAACGCCGCGUGAGUGAUGAAGGUCUUCGGAUCGUAAAACUCUGUUAUUAGGGAAGAACAUAUGUGUAAGUAACUGUGCACAUCUUGACGGUACCUAAUGAGAAAGCCACGGCUAACUACGUG
rnacentral:rRNA from 1 species